GUAAGGAACAAGUCGCUCGCUCCAGUGAUUAUCUCGAUGGGCAAUUGACCUUUCGCGAGCGUCUGCUCGUGCGUCAUCACUUGAUGUUUUGCCCGAACUGCCGACGCUUUAUCCGUCAGAUGCGCCUGAUGCAGGCGACGCUGAAGAUCCUGCCGCAGGAGCCGGUAAAGGAUGUCGAUGCGCUGGCUGAACGAUUGGCAGCCGAACGGCUGAAAGAUUUGUAGGAGCGAGCAAGCCCGCUCCUACA
rnacentral:sRNA from 1 species